UUGUUUAUUUUGUUUUGUUUCAAUGACUUCUGAGAAAAAGAAUGUAAAACCUUCGGCAGGCUCGCGCCCACUUUCGCCGACGGUGGCCGAAACCAACGUCCUGCCGAAGCAACAGGUAGACAACAAAGUGUGAGAGUACCGCGUCAAAGACGCAAUCUCAGUAAUGAUCCUUCCGCAGGUUCACCUACGGAAA
rnacentral:misc_RNA from 1 species